rfam:Microgenomates bacterium GW2011_GWC1_39_12 TT26_C0024, whole genome shotgun sequence.
GCCGAGAUGGCGGAAUUGGUAGACGCGCAGGUCUCAAAAACCUGUGGAGCUAACACUUCAUGAGGGUUCGAGUCCCUCCCUCGGCA